GCGGCAUAUUUUGGUUAUUUAUAAUAUCUUGCUAAUUAUUAUAGUUAGAAAAAAUAUUUAGAAGUUUUAGUAGGUUAGUUAAGGAAGAAGUAGUUGUUGGCGAUAAAUAAUAGUACUGUGUAGGAAAGUUGAAAUAUGUGAAAUAAGAUAAGUGUGAAGUAUUAGUUAAACUGAGUACCUUGUGUAUUAGGGAUAUUUUAUAUUAAAUAUUUAUGAUUUAUUUUUCCCGAAAUAGGGAUAGCUAAACUGGAGAUUGAGUUUUUGUAGCAAAAAGAUUCGAAACUUUGUUUUAGUAGUGAAAUGUUAAUCGGGCCUUAAAAUAUCUGGUUUUUUUUGAAAAAAAUUGAAUUUUUUCUUUGUAUUGAAGGAGGACAAAGGUUAGGAGUAGAGGGGUAAAGCUCUUUAUUUAAUUAUUUUAGUUAUAAAAAUAGAAUGAGGGGUGUUCUUAACUAGGCUUAGAGGUAGCCAUGUUUACAGGGGGUUAUACCUGAGGUGAAGAGAGUAGAAUAUUUAUUAUUUUUUAAGUAAGUAAAAAAGACUUUUUAUAAAUUUAGUUUGAAAAUUUAAAGUGAAUAUAUUAGUAUAUGGAAUUGUUUUAAAAAUUUAUUUUGGAGAAUUUAAUGAAGUUUAUUGGGGGGUAGGUGAGUAUAGAGGAAUUCGGCAAAAAUACUUCCGCCUGUUUAUCAAAAACAUGUCUGUAUGAGAGUUAUAUAAAGUCUGGCCUGCCCAUUGGGAACUAAAAGGCCGCGGUAUUGUGACCGUGCGAAGGUAGCAUAAUCAUUAGUCUUUUAAUUGGAGGCUGGAAUGAAUGGCUGGACGAGAAGUAAGCUGUCUUUAUCUCAGAAGUUGAAUUUAACUUUUAAGUGAAAAGGCUUAAAUGAAUUAGAGGGACGAUAAGACCCUAUAAAGUUUAAACACUGAGUUAGUUAAGAGUGAUUUAGAGUAGUAAGGUUUAUUAUUAGUUAGGUGUUUGGUUGGGGCGACUAGAAUAUAAGUUAUAUAACUGUUUUUUAUUUGAAUCAGAGAUAUCUGUUCACAUGAUCCCUUUUUAGGAUUAAAGAGUAAAUUACUUUAGGGAUAACAGCGUAAUUUUUUUUGAGAGUUCUUAUCGACAAAAGAGUUUGCGACCUCGAUGUUGAAUUAAAAUUUCUUUGUGGCGUAGCAGUUACAAAAGAAGGUCUGUUCGACCUUUAAAUUUUUACAUGAUUUGAGUUCAGACCGGCGUGAGCCAGGUUGGUUUCUAUCUUCUAAGGAAUCUUAAGUUAUUUUAGUACGAAAGGAUUAAAUAACUAGAAUAGUUUUUAUAAAAGUCAGAAAAAAAGCAGGCUUUUUCUUUAAUUUCCAAAAUUAAUAUUUUAGGAGUAAACUA
rnacentral:rRNA from 1 species